rnacentral:rRNA from 1 species
UAGGCGACCGGGUGAGUAACACGUGACUAACCUACCUUCAAGCGGGGGAUAACCUCGGGAAACCGGGGCUAAUACCGCAUAAUAUCUUUGGGAUGGAAAUGCUGAAGAUCAAAGGAGCAAUUCGCUGGAAGAGGGGGUCGCGGCUGAUUAGCUAGUUGGCGGGGUAAUGGCCCACCAAGGCUUUGAUCGGUAGCCGGCCUGAGAGGGCGCACGGCCACACUGGAACUGAAACACGGUCCAG